GGUUUUUUGAAUUAUAAUUUAAGAUUAGUUCUGCUCAAUGAUUUGAAAUUAAAUAGCCGCAGUAUUUUGACUGUGCUAAGGUAGCAUAAUCAAUUGUUUUUUAAUUAAGAACUGGAAUGAAGGAAUUGAUGAGAUUAAAACUGUCUAAUAUAAAAUGUUAAAAUUUAAAUUUUAAGUAAUAAUUCUUAAAUAAAGUUAUGGGACGAGAAGACCCUAUAGAAUUUGAUAUAAUUUUUUAAAAUAAGUAUAAAAUAAUAUUUAAUAAAAUUAAUAUUUUAUUGGGAGGAUAAUUAAAUUAAAUUAACUUUAAGAUUAAAAUUAAACAUUAAUUUAUGAUAAUAGUUGAAUAAUUUUAUAAUAAUAAUUAAAAUUAAUUAAAAAUUAAUUACCUUAGGGAUAACAGCGUAAUAUUUUUAAAAAGAUCAUAUUGAUAAAAGUGUUUGCGACCUCGAUGUUGAAUUAAAAUAAAAAUUAAAUGAAGAAGUUUAAUAUUUUAGUCUGUUCGACUAUUAAAAUUUUA
rnacentral:rRNA from 1 species